UGUGUCAGCUCCGCAGGGGUUUGGGGAAGCGGCCGCUGAGUGAGGCGUCGGCUGUGUUUCUCACCGCGGUCUUUUCCUCCCACUCUUGGCUGGUUGGACCCCGCUAUGGAAAA